rnacentral:scRNA from 1 species
GGCGAGGUUAGGCGGAGGCUGGAGAGCAUCGC